rnacentral:ncRNA from 1 species
GAGGUCCCGCGUACAAGACGCGGUCGAUAGACUCGGGGUGUGCGCGUCGAGGUAACGAGACGUUAAGCCCACGAGCACUAACAGACC